AUUUCAUCUUGACCAUCUUUGAGGGACUAUUGAUGCUUUUGGUAUCAGCAGCCACAGAAUUCAUCAGACACAGCACAAAAGAGCAGGAGAAGAGAUAAUGGCAGAUGCCAGAAGGUUGUCCAGCUGGUUACUACCUCUCCUCUUCACCUGAUUAUACCUGAUUACUGCUGACUCGAUGGGCAGGGAGAGUCGCUGACUCCUGACAGAAAGACUCUGUCACCCCUUGCCAUUUAUUUUAGAUCCUGUGAAUCCUACUGUCAAUGUUGUGACACCUGCAAUGCCUGGGAUGAAGCUGCCCAUGUGGUGAGAUGCAGCCUGUGGAAGCCUCUUUUCAGUGGAGUGAGAGCCAAGCCCCCUUGGCUUUUCAUAGACAAUUGGUGAACGGGACAAGGAGACACUGUCCUUGGAUGUCUGAAAAAAAAAGAAAAAGAGCUGGGGAGGACUCCUGACCAGCGUGACACCUAACAUUGGAGUGAAGGGGCAGCAGACCUCUCCAGCCACGUGAAACGAGAUCCAGUUUGGCAUUCUGUCUAAGUUCACUGCACAGAGACGGGUUUGGCUCUGUGAUUCAUCAGAAAUAAGAAAAACAAACACUGUAAAUGGAGAACUUGAAAAAGAGGUGGGCACCAUCUCCCCACCCAAGAGAAUGGAUUUAAGAGGAAAUUUGUUUAUGGGAUGAAGUUUUAAAAGGCGACCUGGAAAAUUUAGCAAAGAUGUAAAUAAACAACUCUUCCUUGGAUUGCAUUAGGCUUCAGAAUAAAUAUAUUAACCAGCUUCAGUCAAAGUCUGCCUAGAAUCUGACCCUGACAAGACCCAGUGACUAGUGCUGCUCCGAACCUUCCCCACCAACAGCAGGCAAUUUUCUCUGUGGCAAAGCUACCUCGAAACAGGCAUCCAGGCUUCCCUCCCACGAAGUGAAGAUGAGAAAACUGAGUCUCAGAAUGGACAAGCUCACAGAUGGCAAGUGGUAGAGCAGACUUCACACAUAGCCAUCUGAGUGAGAUGGGAAGCUGAUCCUCCAGCCCUGAUCAAGCCUUCAAAUGACUGCACCUCCAGCUGACAGAUUACCAAAAGCAACCUCCUUCCAGAAGACCUUGAGCCAAAACCACUCAGCUAAGCUACUUCCAGAUCCCUGAUCCUCGGAAACUGUGCGAGACAAUAAAUGUUU
rnacentral:lncRNA from 1 species